rnacentral:misc_RNA from 1 species
CAACCAUCAAGCCCCCGGGCUUGUGUUGGGGACCUGCGGCUGCCGCAGGCCCCGAAAACCAGUGGCGGGCUCGCUGUCACCCCGAGCGUAGUAGUUUACACCUCGCCCAGGGCGCGACGCGGGUUUCCCGGCCGUUAAACACCCCCCAUCUAAA